UGGGGAAUAUUGCACAAUGGGGGAAACCCUGAUGCAGCGACGCCGCGUGAGUGAAGAAGUAUUUCGGUAUGUAAAGCUCUAUCAGCAGGGAAGAAAAUGACGGUACCUGACUAAGAAGCCCCGGCUAACUACGUGCCAGCAGCCGCGGUAAUACGUAGGGGGCAAGCGUUAUCCGGAUUUACUGGGUGUAAAGGGAGCGUAGACGGUAAAGCAAGUCUGAAGUGAAAGCCCGCGGCUCAACUGCGGGACUGCUUUGGAAACUGUUUAACUGGAGUGCUGGAGAGGUAAGCGGAAUUCCUAGUGUAGCGGUGAAAUGCGUAGAUAUUAGGAGGAACACCAGUGGCGAAGGCGGCUUACUGGACAGUAACUGACGUUGAGGCUCGAAAGCGUGGGGAGCAAACAGG
rnacentral:rRNA from 1 species